UACGAAGGGGGCUAGCGUUGUUCGGAAUUACUGGGCGUAAAGCGCACGUAGGCGGUUUGUUAAGUCAGUGGUGAAAUCCCGGAGCUCAACUUCGGAACUGCCUUUGAUACUGGCAAUCUAGAGUCCGGAAGAGGUUAGUGGAAUUCCCAGUGUAGAGGUGAAAUUCGUAGAUAUUGGGAAGAACACCAGUGGCGAAGGCGGCUAGCUGGUCCGGUACUGACGCUGAGGUGCGAAAGCGUGGGGAGCAAACAGG
rnacentral:rRNA from 1 species